rnacentral:rRNA from 1 species
GAUCAUGGCUCAGGAUGAACGCUAGCGGCAGGCCUAAUACAUGCAAGUCGAACGCUCAGUAGCAAUACUGGGAGUGGCGCACGGGUGCGUAACGCGUACACAAUCUACCUCUAAGCGGGGGACACCUCCUGGAAACGGGGAUUAAUACCGCAUAAUAUGCCGAGGUCGCAUGACUUUGGUAUUAAAGCAGCCAUGCACUUAGAGAUGAGUGUGCGUCCCAUUAGGUAGUUGGUGAGGUAACGGCUCACCAAGCCUAUGAUGGGUAGCCGGUCUGAGAGGAUGGUCGGCCACACGGGCACUGAGACACGGGCCCGACUCCUACGGGAGGCAGCAGUAAGGAAUAUUGGUCAAUGGUGGAAACACUGAACCAGCCAUGCCGCGUGGAGGAAUAAGGUCCUACGGAUUGUAAACUCCUUUUGACGAGGAAGAAAGUGUUAGAUUUAUCUAAUUUUGACGGUACUCGUAGAAUAAGCACCGGCUAACUCCGUG